GGCUAGUCACAUAUUAGAGUUCAUAUC
rnacentral:misc_RNA from 1 species